rnacentral:lncRNA from 1 species
AAUUAAAAUUUAUAUUUUAUAAUAUGAUAAUAAUAAUUUAUUUACUUAGAUUAUUAAAUUUAUUCAAAGUUAACUCAUGAAAAUAUUUAUUAUUUGUUGCAUCUUGUUUAUACAUGUGAAUAUGUGUCUAUAUAUCCGCGGAUUUCGGGUAACUAUUUCGGUUUUGGGUAUCCGUUCGGGUUUCGGGUAUCCGCGGGUUUGGUUUUGGUGUUGAAUUUCCACCCGAUUUGGUUUCGGUUUUGGUUUCGGGUUUCGACUUCGCGUUUCGGUUUUGGGUGCACGGAGACUCCACCCGAUCCAAACCCAACCUGUUGCCAUCCUUAAAUGGUGCUCUUCCUUCACUUAGUUGUCAGGUUAGUGUGUUGGCUUCAAUGGUGCCUUAAUGAACGAGUGGACAUGGCUAAGCCCCAUUUAUCGCAGCUGGAUAUUAUCUCAAAACAAUUUUGAUCUCAGCAUACUCUUAUAUAUGGCUAACAAAUUUUUAAUUUAAUAUGUCGCUAAUCUCAUUGACAUCGGUUUUAUGUACUCUAAUAUUAGUUUUUAUGUACAGCUUGAUUCGAAAGAUAUGCUACUUCAUGAAGAGCAGAUAGCUAAAGUUCAAGAACACGUCAUUCAGCAGGUGUAUGGUGAUACUGUGCUUGCCGAAAAAAACACUUCAUUUCAGUGUCGAGGCUGGCUGGCUGGCUGCAAUAAGGUAAUAACGUGGACAUUGUCGGAUUCAUGGUUGGAUGACUGUUGUUACCUAUGAAUUCCGUAAUUACUCUCCUAGAUUGAUUUUACGCUUCUAUAGUUUACCUGCUCCUACAUAGCGAUUGCAAGACUAGAUUUCCUUACAAAGCUACACUGAGAUAUUUUUUCCCUGAAAAAGAAAGUUACUCUAGAUGCUUCCUUACACAAAAUGUGUAGCUUUCCCAGUUUUGCUAAUAAAGCUGGUAAAAAGGAUUGAUGUUCUUGUGGUUGGUUUGACACUUUGAAAUUACCACUGCUUUGCAGCAAACAAUAAAGUGUGCAUAAUCGUUCUAUUUUUAUCUUUUAUGUGCUUCAUGAAGACCUAUAUUUGAUCCUGUUCAGCUGAGUGUUGAUGAAUUAUGUACCUUUUUGCCAUAAACACAUAAUUAUCAACAUAAAGAAAGAUAUCGACUGGGACCACCUUGAGUUCAGGAUUUGAGCCACCAAAUUUGUUGUUCUUUCUUUCCAAAAGGUUGUCUUCUCCUAAAUUUUAAUAUCCCACUACAGGCAGGUCAAAAAAAGGGUUGACCGUGCCUACACAAAGCUAUCCAAAGCUAAUACUGACACUGCCAAGUUAAACCAAUGUCCUAUCCCUAUUCAGCUGUAUUUGUAGCCUUUGAACGAUUUGGAAUCCCACUAUUUUGACAUUGUUGACAUCAUACAUCCACAAUAUAAUUCCGUCUUUAAACUAAACCAAAAAAAAGAUCUUUCAGUCCAAACUUACUUCCUCAGUCAGCAUCUAUGUUUUCUUUUAUUUUUACCAGACAUAUCUAUUUGCUUCAUCCACUUUGGGUCUCUUACAUAAAUAAAAUUAUUACAUUCAGUUGCACUACACUUUUACUUUUUCCACUACCAGUGCAGAACAUAGAGCGCCAAUCACCUGUGCCAAAAACUUUCAGAAUGUUGUUGACAGAGGUGGCUGAUUUCAUAUAUGUUCAAAGAUCUGAUCAUUCAUCUAAACCCAUAGAUAUGCAGUUUAUGCUAAAUAUUUAGGACAUCACUUAUGUUUCCAGACGUAGGAAAAAAAUUCUGAAAAAGUUUAUGUAUCCAUAUGAAUUUACUUCAUAUAUUUAGUGACACCUUUCCAACGUGUCUUAACCCUGUGACGAUUCUAUUUUAGUGAUACAGGUAAAAGAAAGCGAUGAAGAAACAUACAUAGACAAGAGCAUCGAACCAACACCCCCUCCCCCCCCCCCCCCCCCCUCUACCACCACCACCACAAAAAAAACCAGCCAUUCCUCAUUAGAUUACACAGCAAAGAGGUGAUUUCGUUGAGCAAUAUAAUACAUACCUAUAUAUUAUAGCACCCAGAACGGAAUAUAAGUUCUGCGCAUUAUGCAGUUUCCAAUACCAAAGUCAUAAAAAGAGAAAAUCCAUGUUGCCAUGCAGGGAAAUAGCAGCAGAAGAACAAGCUUCUCGCAGUAAAAAUAGGUGAGGCCCAAUCACGCUGCCCAUGUAGUCAGAUAUUGCUCACCUAAUAUUAAUUGUAUGCUUCAUGCCUUCAAUUUACUCUGGUUUUCUGAUGUGGUAGUUUUGUGUAUAGUUAGAAUGGGCGGGUCUCUUCUUUUUCACUUGCUCUUUCUUUUCCUACUAAAGUUCCCACGCUGCUCAUUAUCUUUUAAUUUUUUAUUUAUUUUAUUUACAGUACACAAUAUCUCCAGAAUUUUUACUCUCUUAAUAGAUUUAGUGUCUUCGUUCCAUACUACCUAUGAGACUAGAUCUUUUCCUACUAUUAUGACAGAUUUAAUAAGUGUCUUACAUACUCCUCGUGCUACUAACCGUUCUCCUUAUCCUACAACAAGUAUAUGAAACAGCGACAUGGAUCUACCAUUUUGUAACAUGAACAAGCUAUGCUCGGUGCAUAUGACAAGUCCCUAAUCACUUUCCUAUAUCCAGCCUGAUAAAAACAGUAAACUGACCAUCAAUUAUGGAGAAUUCAUCGCUGCAGUUGUGCCUCUUAAGAAAAUAGAACGUGAUGAGCACUUCAUGGCACCUUUUACUUCGACAGAGAUGGCAGUGCUCAGCGAGCUUCUGGAGACCAUAACAUGGACCACACUUUCUUUGAAGAGAUCAUUUAAGAUAUCGAACCAAACAAUGUAAGUUGGUUCUCUUACUUUAAGGACAGUAGUAGUGCAAAAAGAUUUUACCAUCAAUGUGAAUUACUUGGGCUACCUAAACAUGUCAGUCUCAUUCUAGACCGUGCGGUUGCAUUGCACGAAAAUACUACAAUGGUUCCUGACUGGGCUCAUUGCGUCAACCACAUAGUCUUAACUCACAGCUGUUGAUUUCAGCAACCAUAAAGGAUAAAAAAAUGUAAAUAUACUUGCUGACAGACCCUUCACCUUUUGAUCUUCAAUUUACAUGCGACAAUUCUCCUUGCCGAUAAUUCUCCUAUGUUUUUUUUUGCAAUUGACCUGACAAAUAGGCAAUAUAUUAUAGAAAUAUAUGAUCUGCAUGAUACUAUAGAAUUAUAUGACCUGACCAUAGCUGUUAAGAACUUAGGACUACCAAAUACCAACAAGGCCUCUGCUUAGUUCUAUUGUACUACUUCACUAAUGCAUAUGCUCUUGUGUCUGCUUUUCAGGAUGGUCAAAUCGACUGUGCCCCAAGUUCAUAGCGAUAAAACAAAUCAACAAAGUUUGGACUUUGGUGGUAACCAAUGCAAAACACUUGCAAUAUAUAACCUUGACAGGUGCACAUCAAGUACACUGUCAGUGAUGCACUAACCAUGUUCUUCACUUAUUAAUCGAUUAUUCGUCAAGCUCAGUGAAUCAAAUUAUUUAACAGUAUUUAUAUCCCAAAUAAGUGUAGCCUGCCAAGCAAUAUGUAAUUUGUCAUGAGAGUUUGCAGUUUUUACAUUAUGCAAUAAAAAAACAAUUGCCUAUAUUUACGAACUCGCGCGAGGGCGCGUGCCUUCCACUAGUGCAAACACAAAUUCGGUGAUGAAUGAAGCAAACAAAAGCCGGUGCAGACACUUGUGGGCCAUAGCAGUUCUGGUUUCCAUUCUCAAGUCCGAUCCGGGGCCUUGUUUAGUUCGAACUAAAAUAAAAAAAAA